CUGAUGUCAGGGGCUGGACGGACGCGCGAGGGGCCGGCCCGGUGAGGAGAAAGUGCGCGAGCGCGCCCCCCGACCCGACCCUGGGCCACCUGAGAGGCGGAGGACAGAAACGGGGGCCUUGCGAGUCAGCCUGAACCUGGGUGCAAGCUCUGUUACUCAGAGCUCGGGACUAGGCGCUUUUGGGUGCGAAGCGAGUGGCCCACACAACUCCCGCGCUGGAGGAGGCCCGAGUCUGGUAGGGGGAGAUUUGGAGAGACCGAAUCUCAGCUUCAUGAAAGCAGUGAUUUUUGUCUGCUCUCCGCUGUCUUCCCAGUGCCUGAAAUGUGGCUGGCAGGAAACUUUUUUUUGGCCACUUGUGUACGUGUGUGCACGCAGACAUGUGUGUGCAUCUGUGAGCAUGCAUGCACUGGAUCUCGAUGCAAAGAAGUAAUACAGUGGGUCAUAAAGAGUGAUGUGGCUUCCACUGGUUUGCUUGGGAUAGUUGCCCCGGGGACCUGGCCACCAUUCUAGGAGGAAGCCCAAACAGCACAUGGAGAGGCCCACUUGGAAAGGAGCUGAGGGUCCCUGCCUGCAGCUUGCACCCACCCUCCAGCCAUGUGAGUGCGCCAUCUUCAAAAGUGGAUGUUCCAGCUUCAGUCAGCCACCCUAGCUGGUGCCGCCUGGAGCGGAGAUGAGCUGUCCCCUCUGAGCCUUGCCUACGCUAUGGAUUCCUGAGCAGAAUAAAUGUUUGUUGUUGUUUGAAGCCACCAAGUUCGGCAUGGUUUGUUUCACUGCAAUAGACAACGGAUUCCUCCAGUUUUCUCUUGUAUUCUCGUCCCCUGGGACUCAGACCUGGUGCCAUACGGCUGAACCCAGGGUCAACCUAAAGGACUGAUCUGGCUCCAUCCACUUGGAAAUUACAUUUUUCUUCCCUCAGGUUGAGUCUCUUCCUGGGAAGCUCUUGGGUCCCUUUUGCCAAAUGACCCAGUGGGGGCAACUUCCCUGGUACUCUGGAAUUGACUGGACAUCCUGGAGGACCAGAGUUUAGCCAGGACAUCUCCUUCCUUUCCUUCUUCUACCCCUAGUCACAGUCUCAGUUAUUUUAUGAGGAUGAACUGAGGCUCCGAGAGGUUGAAUUGCUCUCCCAGGGAAUAUGGCUAGGGAGUGGAAGACCGAUUUGGACCCUUGUCUGUCUGACUUUCCACUACCCUGGGGGCUGCUUCCUUGUGCUCUAUGCAGAGCCUGAGGCUCCAGAGGGGCGCCUUGUUUCUCACUAAGGCCCUAAGCUACCUCAUCAUCCUCUCACAGACUCCCCUCCAAAAAAGAUAUACGGUCAAAUGGCUAAUAAGCAUAUGAAAAGGCAUGCAGCCUCAUUAGUAGCAGGGACGUGCAAGUUAAAAUCCCAAGUAUACCCCUACUGUGAUUGAAUGCAAAGGUGCAUUGCUCAGAUCCCCUUCCAUGGAUCUGUGGCCCCUCCAGCCGUUUUGGCCAACUUGGUCCAUUCCAGCUUUACUGCUCCCUCUGGGGUCAGGGGAGGCUCACCUUCUCCCUCUGCUUGCACCUAUUUCCUUCCUGACCACAGGUGUUGAUCUCAAGAACACUUCUUAAUAAACAUCCUGUUUGCUAAA